rnacentral:rRNA from 1 species
UCCUACGGGGGGCAGCAGUGAGGAAUAUUGGUCAAUGGCCGAGAGGCUGAACCAGCCAAGUCGCGUGAGGGAAGACGGCCCUACGGGUUGUAAACCUCUUUUGUCGGGGAGCAAAGCGAGUCACGUGUGACUCAUUGAGAGUACCCGAAGAAAAAGCAUCGGCUAACUCCGUGCCAGCAGCCGCGGUAAUACGGAGGAUGCGAGCGUUAUCCGGAUUCAUUGGGUUUAAAGGGUGCGCAGGCGGGCCUUUAAGCCGGCGGUGGAAUCGCGGGG